rnacentral:lncRNA from 1 species
UAUAUCUGCUCCCUAAAAACAAAUAUCUUACAUAAUAUCCACUGAAUUAUGGCACCAGCUCGACUCCUCACUUGGAACACAGAAUAUAUUUGCAUGUAUUCCAUAGAUACCAACUGAUUUGGUACUGUUUCAUUGACAAAACUAUACAACAGUAAUCAACAGAAAAAGAAAAAGCGAAGGAGAUACAUGCUACUGGCUGCACAUGAUGAAUAUAGGAAGCAAUAAGAAUGAUCUGAUCCACGCCUUUUAUGCUACAUUGAGUAACAAGACAGAAUUGGUCCGCUGAUACACAAGCAAUAAGACAGUGAACGGUUUGAGCCAUCUUUUAUGACCCACCCAAUUGAAAUAAUUUGCCAAUGAAUAAACAAAAGCAUCGACCAUGGACAUCGAGAUUCAGCUACCAAUCAAUGCAUUCGGCAGUUCAUCCUCCUGCACAAGCAGAAAUAAGGCAAGCACCAGAUCAGACAAAAGCAAGCUGAGCAAACUAUUCCACCAACUAGUUGAGAGACAAAUACAAUCUCACAGCAACAAAACCAAGAAAGAAAGAUAAACCCAUGCUUCAAGUAACAAGAAGCAGCAAAGAUGAUAUCAGUGUGGAGUAGGAGCAGUACCUAAGUCUCGUCAAGCUUUUUUGGGCCCAGCAACCAUCGCCAAAGGACCACCAAGUUGUGCAGAUGAGAAGAACCACGGGUCUGCGUGCACAUAUAUGAAUUCUGCAAAAUACAUCAAGAUCAAUUACUACAACGACUGGAAUCAAGAAAGAAAGAGAACCCCAUGCUUCAGUUAACAAGAAGCAUCAAAGAGGAGAUCGGUGUGGAGUAGGAGCAGUACCUCUGUCUCCUCGAGCUUUUUUGAGCCCAGCAACCAUCAGUGGAGGACCACAACAACAACCACCAAGUCACACUGACGAGAAGAACCGCAGGUCUAUGUGCACGUAUAUCAAUACUUCAAAAUACAUCAAGAUCAAUUACUGCCAAACAUCAUGGACAGUUAAUAAGCUAGCUGAUUGGUUCCCAUAAAUCAAGCAUAUUUUGAUGCCAGCCACACUUGAACCAAAUUGCAAAGGACAGUUAAGAACUCGAUUAAUUAGAGGGGCACACUUCGAGACCAAAUUGAAAAAUUAGAGUUCCAGUCUUGGGCAUAAUGCUCCAAGGAGAAGUCAAUGGUCAACAUAAAAUUCUAUGAUGUCUGUGAGGGUCAUCUUCAUUCCCAUGUCAGCUCUGAUCACAUGCAUAGCUGAGCUAACUAGAGCAGCUCGCAUAAGAAGCUAGCCAGGAGUAAGUUAUCAUGGACUUGUUGUGCUCAGGAAGAAAACAUCCCUGGUCAUCUAAGGAAAAACAAAUUGCACAAUACAUGUCCGUGUCGUGGUAAUAAAGGGACUAAACUUCAAAUGUCAUCUACUGGAAUGUAGCAACUAGAAACAGCCGAGUAAGUUCGAAUACCACAGUUCUUCAUUAAACUCUAAAACCAAGAGAUAAAACCAAGUGGUCUAUCAUAAUCUUGAUAGUUGGAACCUGAGGCCUUGCUGUGGUGUCAACCAACCACAAGGCCAGACCAUGCAGGGAGCUUGGCUGAGUCACUGCUGUGGUGUCAACCAACCACAACAGUACCACCAACCCACCAACUAGUUAAAGGUUAUGCUAAAAAAGACCAAACCAUGCCUAUAGCCAGACUAAAAAAGGUUUGCUUUUUCAUUAUCACAACAUAUGCGCAAGCCUAGAUCACAGCAAAAACUUUGAAUGGGACGGGAACCAAACAUGAACAUGAGUUAUAUAUUCUAUUAGUUGCUGCUCAAAGAGCUACAUGUAUAUCCAGCAAGUUUGUAUCAUGCAGGUUAGUGCUAGCAUGAUAAUCGCCAAGCAGACAAACGAACAAACAAACAGUAGCAUCAUCAUCAUGAAAGUGCUAUAGCCGUGGCAUGAUGUCCAUGAACCCAGAGCAGCCACCAUAGCCGUGGCUUGAUGCCACAAGUUCUCAGAGCAACUAGAGGCAAGAAGCAGAGGAAGGAGAGAGGAGCUCACCUUGGUUGUUUUGCAGUCGAUGCCAAACAGCACCAUCACCGCCGCGCAGCAGCGGGUCCAGCGGAAGAUGCCAAGGC